GACGUAGGGCGCGAGCGUUGUCCGGAUUUAUUGGGCGUAAAGAGCUCGUAGGCGGCUUGUCGCGUCGAAUGUGAAAACUCGGGGCUCAACCCCGCGCUUGCAUUCGAUACGGGCAGGCUCGAGUUCGGUAGGGGAGACGUGGAAUUCCAUGUGGUAGCGGUGAAAUGCGCAGAUAUCAGGAGGAACACCGAUGGCGAAGGCAGAUCUCUGGGCCGAUACUGACGCUGAGGCACGAAAGCGUGGGGAGCAAACAGG
rnacentral:rRNA from 1 species